GCCACACCAUCAUGCCACAUAGGUGCCACUUGCACUAUCAGAAAAAGGGCCUAUGGCAAUAGUUAUUUUAGCAGCGGUUAAACAACCGUUGCCAUAGAACAUCUAUGGUAACGGUUACAACCGUUACAAUAGCAUUUAGGUGAUAUCAGCACACUUAAGCUAUACAACCGUUGCAAUUGUAAAACAACCGUGCCAUAGAUUAAUCUUGCGCAACGGUUAUAUAAACCGUCCCAAUAAAAUUAUCUACUGGAACGCUUUUAUUGUAAAAUAGGUGCUCUCCCAAAUCCCUAAAUCCAACACCAGUGAUUUUAGCCAUAACCUUCUUUGGUGGUAUAGAUAUUAUUAGCUGAGAGAAAAUUUAUUUCUGGUAGCUGAGGAGAAAUCAUUGCUAGUAAUUUAGGGAACACCCGCUGCUAAGGAAAGCAGAUCAUGAAUCAGGAAGGGCGCUCAAGUAAAAAUAAAAAAUUAACAAAAUGCAUAGUAGCUGGAUCACUUGCAUCUUUGCGAAACCUAAAAGUU